AGCUCCAAUAGCGUAUAUUAAAAUUGUUGCGGUUGAAAAGCUCGUAGCUUGAUUUCUGCCGAGGACGGCCGGUCCGCCCUGUGGGUGAGUAUCUGGCUGAGCCUGGGCAUCCUCUUGGAGAACGUAUCUGCACUUGACUGUGUGGUGCGGUAUCCAAGACUUUUACUUAAAGGAAAUUAGAGUGUUCCAAGGAGGCGUACGCCUUGAAGACAUUAGCAUGGAAUAAUAAGAUAGGACCUCGGUUCUAUUUUGUUGGUUUCUAAAGCUGAGGUAAUGAUUAAUAGGGAUAGCUGGGGGCAUUCGUAUCUAACUGUCAGAGGUGAAAUUCUUGGAAUUGUUAAAGACGGACUACUGCGAAAGCAUUUGCCAACGAUGUUGUCA
rnacentral:rRNA from 1 species